UAGCGAGGGAGAUAGAUGCGGACAAAGCGAGAGAUGCUUUCUUCUUCUUUGUUUCCUUGGCUGAGUUACCCGCAAUCCAUUCUGAGAAGAAAAUCAAAUCAUGUGUAUUUGAUCUUCUCUUUUGAAGAUAUAACAGAUGUGAAGAAAAAAAAUGAAAAGAAAAAUGGAGACCAUGUUUAUAAACACAAAUUCUAGGGUUUGCUCUCUUAAUCUUUAGCUUAUCUCCUGUUCUUAUUUUGAUGUUUUCACGGUUUCUUUCUUUUUUAUCGUGACUUAAUUAUGCAACUAUGCUUGGUCAAUUUUUCUUUUGAUUGAGAACUUUAUUUAAUCGGUGAAUGUUAUAAUUUCUUAUUUUGUUGUCUGUGUUCUACUUAUCAUAGUUAUAAAAAGGUAUGAGGUUUAUGUCCAUGAUGACAAAAGUUAUCAGACGGACGACGUUUAAUACAGACCCGAUGCGAAGGUCAGGAAGCUCGGGAUGGAGUAGUCAUUAGACGGCUGAAAACACUCACGGUAUUGUUAAGUGGGUCGGUGUGGUGAACGAAUUUUGGGAUGGGAAGGAGUUCGUACGGUGUUACCAUCGUCAAGGGGAAGGCGAUGUAGUGCUUCAAGGAGCUCUGAAUCUCCAAAUAAUUGCAUCUAUUAAAUUUAGGGUUCAAAUUCUUUUUUAUGUGUUAAAAAGUAAUUUGUCGUCUGCAGUCCAAAGUUGUUUAUAUAUUACUUCAUUUUUACUCUCAUAUGAAGUUCUUAAAUACUCACAUAUAGUUUUGUGUUUCAAGGAAGACCUUUCUUUGUUUUGUCGACGCAUCACUAGCUCAACUCCACACAACUAUAAAUUUUCUGACCGUAUUUGGAUUACUAAAUCAACCAGCCUAAGUUUUCAAGGUAGUCUCUUACUAAUUUCACAUCCCGAUUUUCAACGUUCUGCCAUAUUUAGCAUACUUGAAAUUUCUGUGACUUAAAAGAUACUUUAAAUUGGUGUAUGCAGGGGUUGUAUUGGUUCACGAAUGCUAACCUUGAAUCAGUGUAUUUGCAGUUUAUCUUGGUUCAGUAAUAAGAUGAUUUAUUAUGUUUACCUUCAAACUGUUUAAAUUCAUAUUGUCUUACUGCUUUUUGGUUGAAUACGGAAAUCUGUGGUGAAUAUGUUACAGAAUUUACAGUCUUAUUUCUUAUAGGUUUCUUGAAUUUAUUCUCCCAUGGUUUGUAGGUAUAACAAAAGUUUGCACAGUUAUUAGCCUAACCACUCAGCUUACUCGAAGGCUCCAUCGACACCAUGAAUAUUCCUUUUUAGGGUCCAAUCAGUUAACUCGCCGGUGAACAUGAAUAACUCUAACAUGCUGAAAUUAAUAACAAGAUUUGAAGUUGUGGUUGGGUUAACUAAAUUUUUCUAAAGAGAUUUAAGAAUCAAUUGCCGCCGUCACCAUCACCACCGCCAGAUCCGUUUUAGUGGAAUACAGACUCGAUGGCGCAGUCACAAAGCUCUAUCUUCUUACAAGCAACGGUUGUUGUUCUUACCCUUUCUAUUGAGAGGGAACAGGAAGGAAAGGCCCGAGAAAGCUAAGGAUGGAGAAUAUUUCCUUCUUUUUAAAGCGAAUAUGCACUUUAAAUUCGAGAAGCAGACAUGCCCGGGAUUGGAGAAUUUCAAUCUAAUUCAUUCUAAUAUGGAAACUAAAUUUAUCCAUCCAGGUUUAUCUGGCGUGGUUAAUCUGAACUUGAAUCAUUAUGGCAUUUGAGGAGGUAAAAUUUAGUAUUGUGCUUGUGCACGUUUUACACUCUUUAAAAAGUGGUGUUAUUUUAGCCCCUUCAUGCGAGCUGUAAUAUCCAUUACUCUUUUUCAAAAUUUAGUCUUUUCGAUUUCCUCAUAUACUCAAACUUAAUUUACACUUUAAAUACCACUAGGUACUAAAAAAUUUGUCCUAAGGGAGAAGAUGGCGGUGAUUACAUAGCCCUGCAUCCGUACUGACAUGGGUAAGACGUAGCUGUGUUCUUGCCUUACGCGAAGAAAAUUGUCCUUAAUUAAUCAAAAACAGUCAACAAAAGAAUUAGAAAAACCACUGUCAGUGUUAUAUCUGAAUCGUGGUACUAAUCUAGGUUUUGGGUGAGUUCAUUGUCAUUUCUCUUUCUUUGAACCCGAAUUGUAGGAAUUGGCAGUAAUUCUAGCGAUAAGGUACUGAUCUAGCGUACAUACGUAUUACUGUAUAGUAAUUUAUCAAUUUUAAUUGAUGUACGCGUUGGUUUUAAGCAGUACACGAGUUUUCUUUGCACUUAUUGGUUGCAACAACAUUAUUUAUAGCUGAGGUGAAGUAAGUCAUAGACUGGGGACUUAACUUGGUAGCCUAAACUAGAGAGAAUGUAAGUGAUUCAAAGUUGUUCAGUCGUCAUCUUUGAUGUACAAGACAACUCCUUCCAGCUAGGCAUUUUUCACCGUGUGCACAUUUUUGUAGUAGUCUCUUAAAUCUCAUCUUCAUGUUGUUGACAAUUAUUUUUUCACGCAGUUGGUGAUUUUCAAAUCCGAAUAUUUUUCAAGUGCCUUGGAUAGUUUGUGGCUGUCCAAGUGUUAAUGGUUAAAUAGUAUCCUUGCUUAGUUUCUUCUCCACUUUGUUUUAGUGGAUGGUUUUAUUAAUUCCAUAACAAACCUCACGUAGGCCUGCGAUCCAAUACAAUUAUCCUAGUAUAUGACCAUGUCCUUAUAAAGCACAAUAUCUUGGAUAUGAGCAUUUUCGUUUCUAUUUACAGUGAACCUGUACUACGUCCAUUGAAAAGGAGUAUUUUGUAUAUCCAACUGAUGAAUCGUCAUUAUCGACAGUUGCAAGCCCGUGCAAGGAGUCUUUCCUAGCCCACUAAGUAUACUUCUGAGUGUUUACGCUUUUGGGUUCUUUAUGUUUUUAUUUUUUCUUGGUUUUAAAGGUUCCCCUGCACUCCAGCAUAUCAAUGGGCAGCCAUAGUUAUGCUCUGUUACAGUUCAACCCUCCCGCAACAGCUUAUCUUUCUUAAAUGCUUUUAAAACUAUGUUAUAUUGCACUGGAGUCGCAGCAUCAAAGAUCCAUUAACGUAGUCUAUGGAGAGCAUCACCACAACUAAAAGUAAAAAUUCUUCCUCAGCUUUUUUUUACUACUCAUAUCAGAGUGCAGUCACAGUGAUUUGGUCCUUACAAAGAUCCAUUAUCAUUGUCUAAGGAGAGCAUGACCACCACUUAAAGCAAAAACUCUUCCUCACAUUUUUUUUGUUUACCACUGAGGUACUUCAUUCUAUAAACAAUCAAAUUUUUUGUCAUUUUUAAAUGUUACCUACAUUUCAUUUUUUUCCUCUCAGGGAUAUCAAAUUAUCAAUAUCAAUAAAAGGGUAUCAAAAUUAAGAUUUAGGAACAUUUAUGUAUGGAUUAUUAUACUUCCCUUAAAAUUGGGUGCAGUUUGUGCAUAAGAAAGUGAAAUAACCUUUUUAUUCUCAUGGUGUUUCUAUAGGAGAGCUAUUUGAAGUAACGCUGGACAGGUUGUUAACUUUGCUUAGGGGUUUUCAAGCUCAAGGGAAGCAUGUGCUUAUGUUUUUUGGUGGUAUCAGGUUAGUUACGAUCAGUUUUUGUUAGUUAUAGCAAGCCAUCAAGGGACAUACAUUUCAUUUUGUUAGGGUGUACGCAUAACAGAGAAGUGGAGGGGCAAGGCGUGGAUCCAUGGUUGUAAGUCAUAAGAUCAAUUUUAUCAAUUCCAUAUUUAUGAAGUUACAUCAUAUACAUGUUACGUGGAAUUUUACUAUCUUAGUUUCAUAUAUAGUUCGUGUUUUUAUACAACCAGUAGCCAUAUAGCAUGAGCUAUGUGGAUCCCAUGGCUGGAUUUUGGUAUCCAAACUAACUCCUGAUUUAUGUGCAUGAAUAUAAAUCUGUGGCGCAAUUGUAGCGCGUCUGAAGGUUAUGUGCUCGAAUCACGUCAGGUUCAGUGUCCCACUUUAAUUAUCUUGGAACACAUUGAAUAAAAUGGCAUACUUCCUAACUCUCUGUAAUAUUAGUAUCAUUAUCUCCAGCUUUAAUUAUCUUUAAGCCUAUAGUUGGGACAUUAGGUUUGUUAUUCAGCAUUUCUCCAAUGCAGUUGAGACAUGUGUUUAAAUUUUUUCUUGGUUCUUCGAUAACGCCUGCCUUCUAACGGUUAGUUGAUGUGAUUUCUGGGUUUUGCUUCGCAGGUGCUUAUUUCACAUUGAUGGGUUUUCGUGCUCUUACUUUGGUUGUCACGAGUAAAAUUUACAUCUCUUCUGCUGUUUCCUUCCACCCGCAAUGUGCUUCGUUCUAUCUGCAUAUCAAUUUGUGUUGUGUCUGCACUUGCAAAAGUAAGAGAAGCAAAAAAAGAAUAUCAUGAUAUAGCUGAGAAUAGUGCACAUGGUGAACUGAAAAUGAUUUCGUUUCACAUAAUAGAAGAAUUGCAGAAGGGAUUAAUGAAAUAAUUAGGGUACGUAAUUAGGGAAAGGAAUUGAUCGAUUAAUCGCAUUGAAACAAUUAGGGUAAGUAAUUCUCAGCUACAUUGUACAUUUCCACUGCUAAGAUAUCUAAAGGAUUUGGCAAGUAACCAUAAGGAUUUUUUUUGUUGUUUGUUUUUGUUUUUGAGAUUACAGAAUUGUUUAUUUGCUUACCAUUUCUACCCAACUAUGAACCCCAUGCAUAUAAUAUUGUGAUACUAAGUUCCGAUAGAUAAGAAUUGAGAUUAGUUUGCAUAUUAGAGAGGAAGAUGGGGAUUACUUGGAGAAGAUGAACCAAAAGUGACCGCUUGAGAAUAUUAGUCUGUGAUGUAGUACAAGAUCCAGUGAUGAUGUACUCUAAACUCACCAACUUCCCCAACCAAGUGGAUGUUGAAGUUUCACAAGUGACGAUGUAAUCACAUACGUACUUUUCUCACAUAAGCUUUGCUUGAUGCUUAAACUCUGUACAUAGUUUACUAUUGCGAAUAUCAGAAAAGAGUUCCACAAAUAAUGAAGAAGAGAAAGAUGUUGAGGAAAAACGAAGACAUGGAAAGUGAAGGAGACAAGACAACUUCUGAGUGGGAUGUUCUCAAUGGCAUUAAGUCUUUUCAUGGGGGGUUUUCUGUGUUUCUCUGAAUUGAAUUCAAUCGUUACUAUUGUGAAGUUAUAAGGGUUGAGAAUAAUUAUGGUAGAAUGGGAAUAAUCGAUAAAGAUAAUAAUAGUCAUGUGAUAAUCACGGUUGCUAUAUAUAGAUCGGGAGGUUCACAGUUGAAGGUGCUAUUAAUUUGAUUCUAGGUAUUAAUAAUCAAAGAGACAAUAUUUUUUGUUUGUUUGAAGGAAUGAGGAGCAUGAAAGCUCCAAACUUCAUUGAUUAAUAAAAUAUAAUUACAUAACAGUCA